AAGUAUAAAAAUGAUAGCUUUUUGGCUCUGGAUGUGUUCCAAACAAUGCCUUAGGUCAUCCCUAAAUAUCUCCACAUGCAUAAAUUUAAUCAACCAAAAAACACAAAUUCAACCAUUUAUCAUUCAUACUAGCAUGCUCAUUUCCUUGUAUUUUCUAUAUCACUUGUUACAAAUGAUACCUUACGUAGCAUGCCAUUUUAGCCCGGCUCACAUACAUUUCAAAAAGAAAAAAAACAAAUAAAUAAAUAAAAAUAAAAAAUAAAACCAAAUAAAAAAUUAAAGGUCCAAUAACAGUCCAUUUACAGACCCAAAUUCUAACCCAACCACCAUACCCAAAUGCAUAGCCCAAAUUAUUUACCCAAAAAAUAACCUGAUUAUAAUGGCC
rnacentral:lncRNA from 1 species